rnacentral:rRNA from 1 species
UACGUAGGGGGCAAGCGUUGUCCGGAUUUAUUGGGCGUAAAGAGCGUGUAGGCGGCCAGACAGGUCCGUUGUGAAAACUCGAGGCUCAACCUCGAGACGCCGAUGGAAACCGUCUGGCUAGGGUCCGGAAGAGGAGAGUGGAAUUCCUGGUGUAGCGGUGAAAUGCGCAGAUAUCAGGAAGAACACCCGUGGCUAAGGCGGCUCUCUAGUACGGUACUGACGCUGAGACGCGAAAGCGUGGGGAGCGAACAGG